GGUCCAGACUCCUACGGGAGGCAGCAGUGAGGAAUAUUGGUCAAUGGCCGCAGGGCUGAACCAGCCAAGUCGCGUGAGGGAUGACGGUCCUAUGGAUUGUAAACCUCUUUUGUCAGGGAGCAAAGGGCGCCACGUGUGGCGUUUUGCGAGUACCUGAAGAAAAAGCAUCGGCUAACUCCGUGCCAGCAGCCGCGGUAAUACGUAGGGGGCGAGCGUUAUCCGGAUUUACUGGGUGUAAAGGGAGCGUAGACGGCCAUGCAAGCUCGGUGUGAAAGGUGCGGGCACAACCCGCAGACUGCACUGAGAACUGUAUGGCUGGAGUGCCGGAGGGGCAGGCGGAAUUCCUGGUGUAGCGGUGAAAUGCGUAGAUAUCAGGAGGAACACCGGUGGCGAAGGCGGCCUGCUGGACGGCGACUGACGUUGAGGCUCGAAAGCGUGGGGAGCGAACAGGAUUAGAUACCCUUGUAAGG
rnacentral:rRNA from 1 species